rnacentral:rRNA from 1 species
GUGGGGAAUAUUGGGCAAUGGGGGCAACCCUGACCCAGCAACGCCGCGUGAAGGAAGAAGGCUUUCGGGUUGUAAACUUCUUUGACCAGGGACGAAAGAAAUGACGGUACCUGGAAAACAAGCCACGGCUAACUACGUGCCAGCAGCCGCGGUAAUACGUAGGUGGCAAGCGUUGUCCGGAUUUACUGGGUGUAAAGGGCGCGUAGGCGGGAUAGCAAGUCAGGAGUGAAAUCUAUGGGCUUAACCCAUAAACUGCUUUUGAAACUGUUAUUCUUGAGUAUCGGAGAGGCAGGCGGAAUUCCUAGUGUAGCGGUGAAAUGCGUAGAUAUUAGGAGGAACACCAGUGGCGAAGGCGGCCUGCUGGACGACAACUGACGCUGAGGCGCGAAAGCGUGGGGAGCAAACAGG